AUACGGAGGAUCCGAGCGUUAUCCGGAUUUAUUGGGUUUAAAGGGAGCGUAGGCGGACGCUUAAGUCAGUUGUGAAAGUUUGCGGCUCAACCGUAAAAUUGCAGUUGAUACUGGGUGUCUUGAGUACAGUAGAGGCAGGCGGAAUUCGUGGUGUAGCGGUGAAAUGCUUAGAUAUCACGAAGAACUCCGAUUGCGAAGGCAGCCUGCUGGACUGUAACUGACGCUGAUGCUCGAAAGUGUGGGUAUCAAACAGGAUUAGAUACCCUGGUAGUCCACACAGUAAACGAGGAAUACUCGCUGUUUGCGAUAUACAGUAAGCGGCCAAGCGAAAGCGUUAAGUAUUCCACCUGGGGAGUACGCCGGCAACGGUGAAACUCAAAUGAAUUGACGGGG
rnacentral:rRNA from 1 species